AAGAGGUGUAGAGAGAGACAGCACUGUGUGGAGACACUUACAAGUCUGUUUUCUGAGACGCUGGCAGUAAAUAUAGGCCUAUGUGAGACUUUUUAGUUUAGAGAAGUCUUCUUCUGGGAAGUUAAUUUUAUCAAUACGUAUGAAUAAUUUUAAAGGAGCUGUGUCAUAUUCUUGAAAUAAGGAAGCUGCCUGCAGACCACGAAAUUUCCAGUUCACUUUCCGCUGCAGAUGAAUUUAUAGGAUAAGAGAGACUGAGUGAAGAAAACAAUGGAAAAGAGGGGGAAAGGCAAGAUGAGGAAGCAGAGAAAGGCUCCUCCUAUCUGCUUGCUGCUGCUGGCUCUGCUUCAAAUCACCGCACCCUCCUCAGCUCAAAACACCACUACCACCACCAGCACUUCAGCACCAAACCCUUCAGCUGUCAGUUACCGCACGCGGCCACGUGACAUCACAGUGGCUGUGGGAGAACCUGCAGUGUUUCAGUGUGGAGUGCCCAAAGCUUCUCCAAAUGUCACAUUCACCUUCUAUGGGAGCCACAGAAACUACAGCCUCAGAUGUCCCUCGGGCCACGUGGAAGAUAUU